AGUUUUUGUAAAGACAUCCUUUUCUCUCUUGCAGCUUCUAUCAGGAUUUUAAGAGGGCGGGCAGAACUUUAAAGCAAAGGAAAUUGCUUGUUUUUGUGAAAUUAACCGGUCUGUUUUCGAGGCGGAGGACAAGAUAUGAAUGCUAAUCAUUGUGAAGAAACUCAUUAUGGAUUUUUCUCCAAUACAUAGGCAAAAGAAGUAGCUGUUAUCAUUUUACACUAUAACCAGACAUAUAAUGCUGUUGCUCCACAUCCACGUCAGAGAUCCUUGAGGAAUCACCACACUGUCUUCCACAAUGGGUGGUACAUCCAGAAAACAGAAUAUUACUUAGUGCUAAAAAGAAAUGUGCUAUCAAGCCAUGAAAAUAUACAUGGAAAGGGCAACACGGCUGAAUAGAAACAGCUCUGUUCUGCAGCUCCUAGUUGAUCAAUGCAGAAGGUCUUGAGAUCAAGAGCAACCACAUCUGGAUCCAUGGUAGAUCACAAGAUCUGGAACUUUGUGCCUAAUGUUGUUAUCAGAUGAGCAUUUUGGGGAUGUCCUGAAGGGUUCCUUGAGGUGUGACCUUAGAUUGUCUAUUUGUAUUCUUCAUCCAAAUACAAGAAGCACCAAGAACACCUGGGAAAUUCACCGCAAAAACAUCUUCGCCUGGGCACAUUGUCAUCACGUUAUCCAAAGUUAAGACAGGGAAAGAAUCUUAAGAGCUGUGAGACGGAAGUACCAGGUACAAACACCAGGCCUGAGGACGAAUCCAGUGGACAGCCACCAAGAGCCCAGAAUUGUUCCUUGGCGUGGAGCUGGAAAACCUCCUUGGCCCCAAGUUCGCUGCAUGAGGAACAGGGGUGGCCUAAAUGACUAAUCCAGGAAGAUGUCUGCAGCUUUUCCUAGUGUCUUCGCCUCACAGCAUCUUCAAGCCUCUCCCCAGUCUGGAGUGCAGCUCACUGUAACCUUGAACUCCUGAGCUCAAGCGAUCUACCUGCCCCAGCCUUCCAAGUAGCCAGGACUACAGGUAUGGGUCAUGGUCCCUGGCCAAUCAUUAUCCUUGUUACUAUGUUUAAGCAUCUGUCAGGGAGAAGAUCCUACAAUAGAUUAUUAAAAAAAAUUCCACUUUUAUUUUAGA